UAAAACAGCUCAGUAAAAUAUGAUCUCAUGGAAUGCGCCAUAACACAGACAAGCCACAUCAAGAGUAAACCUGUCACCACAUAGUCCCAGUAACUCUGUGCCAGGGCGUAGAAUCGAGCACCUGGUCUUCCUGUCAUAUAUGUAUAUGUGUAUAUAACACCUGUGACCUUACCAUUGCCAGGGCGUAGUCAAAGGCUCCUGGACUUUGCUAUAUACCUGCCAGGGCGUAGUCAAAGGCUCCUGGUCUUUGCUAUACGUGCCAGGGCGUAGUCAAAGGCUCCUGGACUUCCUGUCUGAGACUAUUGGAUCAUUCAGCAUUUACUCACAUCACCAAAUAACAAUGCAAUGCAACNN
rnacentral:lncRNA from 1 species